AAGGUAGGACGCAGAUGCAUUCCCUCCCCCUCUCCGCCUUGUUAGGACUCGCCCGACAUGCCCCAGAUGGGUGACACCGCGGCCCAGCUGUGUCUGUCCCUCAGUCACCCAGCAGCAGACAUCAGCUGCCAGGCCAGGGAGGGCAUCUACCUGCUCGCCCAAAUCCUGCUGCACCACAAGGGCUGAGACAUGCAGGAGGCAGAGGGGCUUCUCCAUCUAAGCCGGGAACAGCAGAGCCAGGUCCAGAGCUACAUGGACCUGGCCCAAGUCGGGGAGGUGUUUCAAAAGAUCUUAUCAGAGGGGCAAAGGAGAUCUUUUGUGCAGAGGGUACUUGCUGGGGUGCUGGACAUCAACAUUUGUGUCAGCCGUGCUGCGCUGAUCCUCCUCUAUGCCAUCCUGGGGGAAGC